rnacentral:tRNA from 1 species
AAAGCUUUAGCUUAAUUAAAGUUACUGUUUUGCAUGCAGUGGAUGUGAGUUAAUAUCUCGCAAGCUUUA